rnacentral:rRNA from 1 species
GGUGAAAAGCACCCCGGAAGGGGAGUGAAAUAGAACCUGAAACCGUGUGCUUACAAGUAGUCAGAGCCCGUUAAUGGGUGAUGGCGUGCCUUUUGUAGAAUGAACCGGCGAGUUACGAUUUGAUGCAAGGUUAAGCAGUAAAUGUGGAGCCGUAGCGAAAGCGAGUCUGAAUAGGGCGUUUAGUAUUUGGUCGUAGACCCGAAACCAGGUGAUCUACCCUUGGUCAGGUUGAAGUUCAGGUAACACUGAAUGGAGGACCGAACCGACUUACGUUGAAAAGUGAGCGGAUGAACUGAGGGUAGCGGAGAAAUUCCAAUCGAACCUGGAGAUAGCUGGUUCUCUCCGAAAUAGCUUUAGGGCUAGC